rnacentral:rRNA from 1 species
AUAUCCAUUAUGGAAAAUUCAACAUUAAUGUUAUAAUAUUUAUUUAUAAAUAUUAUAAAAAUAGUGUGCAAUUUUUCCAUAUAAGGACAUUGUAAUCUGUUAAUGUAAUAAAUAUUUAUCAUAAGAUUCAAUAAAUAAAAGUUUAUUCAAAUUAGUUAUUUUCCGAUUUCUAACAUAGAAUAAAUUUAAUUGAAUUUGAUAAAUCAUUGACAGAUUUAUUUAUAUAUAGUGCUUAAAUUCUUAAUUGAAUUUUACAAUAAUUUAUAAAUGUAUUUUCAUUUAUUUAUUUAUUGUAUGCACUUAUAUGAUUAACAAUGCUAUAGAUUCAGGAUACCUUCGGGACCCGUCUUGAAACACGGACCAAGGAGUCUAACAUAUGUGCAAGUCAUUGGGUAUUUUUAAUAAAACCCAAAGGCAUAAUUAACUUAACUGUUUUUAAUAUGGGAUUAAUUUAUAUUUUAUUAUGAAAUAUUAAUUCAAUCCCGGGGCGUUCUAUAUAGUUAUGUAUAAUAAUAUUUAUAUUAUUUAUGCCUCUAACUAGAGCGUACCUUGAGCAUAUAUGCUGUGACC